GGAAGUAAUAAAUUAAUCAGUCGUGUCCAUGAACAAGAGUUCCAACUGCAUUCAUCAUUCUCCAUGAACAAGAGUUCCAACUGCAUUCAUCAAAACUGCUAAUAUACCUGCUGCUUGUGAUGGGAAGAGAGGGUGUAGAGUGAUCUCCCCCAGCUGCACAAUGCGUUUCGAGAUAUAUUCGUUUUAACAAGCUGGGGGAAGGUGGAUUUGGCUCUGUAUACAAGGGGAAGCUGGAAAAUGGUCAAGAGAUUGCAGUGAGAUUCAGGACAAGGUUUAGUGGAAUUCAAAAAUGAAGUGCUACUACUUGCAAAGCUUCAACAUAGGAAUUUGGUUAGACUCUUGGGUUUUUCCAUACAAGGGAUGGAGAAGCUUCUCAUAUAUGAAUUGGUUCAAAAUGCAAGCCUAGAUCACUUCAUAUUUGAUGUCGUACACAUUUGGAUUGGGAGAGACGUUACAAGAUCAUAGGAGGUAUCGCGAGGGGUAUUCUCUACUUGCAUGAGGAUUCUCGACUCAAGAUCAUUCACCGUGAUUUAAAAGCCAGCAAUAUACUCCUAGACACAGAGAUGAAACCCAAAAUUGCUGACUUUGGUAUGGCUACAUUAUUCCGACAAGAUGAAACUCAAGGAAAUACAAGCCGAAUUGUCGGAACCUAUGGAUAUAUGCCGCCAGAAUACAUACAUAAUACGUGGCCAGUUCUCAAUCAAAUCCGACGUCUUCAGCUUUGGAGUUCUGGCUUUGGAAAUCAUCAGCGCAUCCAUAAGCCUGGCUGUGCCUUCUGAGCCUGCAUUUUAUUCUUCGGGCGGCUAUACUCCCCGACGUUCAUAUUACAGUUCGAGGGAGCGUGAGUCCAUCAACACUCUGCAGAGCCGAGCUUCUGUAGCUGAUCAGUCAGAUCAUUCAUCCAACAAUGAUGUUUCCAUCACCGAGUUACAUCCACGAUGAAACGAUACUUAGCAUCGUCCUAUUUAUACCGGUGUAGGAAUGAACUACACAAAUACAUGUAUAUAUAUCAAAGAAAUAAAGUACUAUUACUACAUAAUAGUAAGAGUAGUAGAUGGAUCAAUUGUUCAUUAGAAGUAUAGUAGUAUUAAUCUUCAACAACUCUUUUUACUA